UUAUGAAAAUAUUUUCCUCUGUAUGAACUUCAUUAUUUAUUAAUUUGUGAUUUAAAAAUUUUUAAAAUGUGCAUAAAUAUCCUAUGGACACAUUUUCAGUGUAUUUCUUUAUGUCAGAUCUGCCACAGAACAACUUUUAACAUCAAAUUAAAAAAAAAAAAAAAACACGAUAAACUUUGCACACAUUUCACCUAAAAUGUGAAAUGUGCCACAGCACUUGACGGUGUUUUGCCUUCUUGUUUGGCUGAACUCUACACCAGUUGUCUGUGGUGUCAGUCAUCGUUUCGGCAUGUUGCUCUUCAACCUGCUGAUGCCACAGAAGCAGUAGAUUACUUUGCCUUUUGAUAUCAACAUGUGUACUUCCCUCGGCGGCUCCCUCUGCUUGUGUGGCCCCGCUUGUACAUCGUCAGGGUAAACAUUUGUGCAAGAGACAAAUGUCUUCGCUGUGCGUGUGUGGGCUGUUCAGCGUGGCUCAAAGAACACUAAUAAGUGGACGCGGCCAUCGAGGUGGAAGUGAACUGCUGAACCUGAAUGUGAUCCAGCACGGCACCCUAAAUAGAGCCGGAGUCCACGGCUCCUGAUCCUCUUUGCUCCCCGACACAUCAUCAGUGUGGUGUCAGCGCUCGUCUCUGGGGUGCAACCGUUCGGGUUGAGAUGGAGUUUGGGAGUCAAAUGCAUCCAUGGAAAGACUUCCAGCAGCUGUCUGGGCCAGGCUGAGCCUCUGCUGCAUUAACAUCACUCACUCUCACCAUUUUGUUGUAAACGCAGAUGAAAUGACGGCACAAAGGCAUCUUUGACAGCUGUGGACUUGUGAACCCCGACUGACCUCAAGGUUGUUCUCAGUGCCGAACUUUCCCAACGUGACAUCACCUUGACGAACACUCUGAAAAUUUGGUUUCCACAUAUCAGCUUGAAUGAAUGAUGCAGAAAGACAAAUGGUAACAUUUUAGAAAUCAGAUGCUGGUGUUAUUGUAUUAUGCUGAUGAUGCUGUGCAAUUCAUCCCUCUUUUCAAAUUCUGUUUCCAAGCCACUGGGACUCUUUAUCCUCAUCACUUCUCUUUAAUCUUUAACUUUGAUCCUAUUUGCUGGACUCUUCAUCCUCAUCACUUCUCUUUGAUCCUGAUUAUAACAUCAAAGACGACAUUGUCCCCUUGAUCAUGAUCCAGAAACAGAAAAGGUAAGUCAGUGUCUUGUUCUCUGACAUGUCUGUGCAUGUGCUGCUGCCACACCACAUGCCAUCUUUAAGUUUGCGUCAUGUCUCGUGCUACAUAAAACCACAUGAGGACAGUUCUAGAGAGAAGCUGCUCCCAAUUCCCCGACAUGUCAGAUCACUCCUGUUAAUAACAAUAAUCACCCGAGAGACCAGCUUUGCCAUUUGUACAUUCAAGGCAACUGGGAGUUAAUAACAACCUAUUUUCCCUUCUUAUUGCUACCCGGCAAUUAAAACUCAUCAGACACCUCAUAUGUGAUACCCCCCAUCCACAGCACUGAUACAGUCGGACGCGCCUUCAACCCAUCACCCAAACCUCCCGCCCCCUCUUCUUACUGUGUCUAUUACACAAGGAGCCUUUUCACUUUCUCUUCAAUCUGCCUGCAUGAUAAUUGGCCCGGUUUGAAAGGUCCUACUCUAUCUGUCCAACUCCACCAGCCAUUAUUCUAAUCUGAAGAUGUGAAAUUGCCUAUAAUUUCCCUGAUGCCCACGUUACUUUGUUCAGCAAUGCUCGCCUCUUCUUCCCCGGCCCUGUGUGUUAACAAGGCACAUAAUGAUCAGGAAUGAGGAAAGGGCACCAGGCUGUGUAUAUAUAAAGAAGGAGAUGUUAAUGUAACACAAUGCUUGUCUUGAUGUGAGAGAAUCAGCGUGGAGGAGUGAAAAUACGGAGCUUGAUAUGGCUUUGUUACGGCUGCUGAAGGAUUUUCACCUCGUGCACAAAGCUUCAGCUCCCUGACUGAGGAAACACAAGGAAGCAGAGGAGGAGACGGAGCAGGAGAGGACGACCGGCCUCUAAUCUCUGCUCCAGGCACCAUCAGACAGAAACUAUCUGGAAGGCCCAUCGUCUCAUUCCUUAAGUGCAGCCACACCGCUGCUGCUGCAUGUAUGCGUGUGUGUGUGUGUGUGUGUGUGUGUGUGUGUGUGUGUGUGUGUGUGUGUGUGUGUGUGU